GAUGAACGCUAGCGACAGGCUUAACACAUGCAAGUCGAGGGGCAGCACAGGUAGCAAUACCGGGUGGCGACCGGCGCACGGGUGAGUAACGCGUAUGCAACUUGCCUAUCAGAGGGGGAUAACCCGGCGAAAGUCGGACUAAUACCGCAUGAAGCAGGGGCCCCGCAUGGGGAUAUUUGCUAAAGAUUCAUCGCUGAUAGAUAGGCAUGCGUUCCAUUAGGCAGUUGGCGGGGUAACGGCCCAACAAACCGACGAUGGAUAGGGGUUCUGAGAGGAAGGUCUCCCACAUUGGUACUGAGACACGGACCAAACUCCUACGGGAGGCAGCAGUGAGGGAUAUUGGUCAAUGGGCGAGAGCCUGAACCAGCCAAGUCGCGUGAGGGACGAAGGCCCUAUGGGUCGUAAACCUCUUUUAUAAGGGAAUAAAGGGCGGGACGUGUCCCGUUUUGCAUGUACCUUAUGAAUAAGGAUCGGCUAACUCCGUGCCAGCCGCCGCGGUAAGAC
rnacentral:rRNA from 1 species